UACGUAGGGAGCGAGCGUUGUCCGGAAUCAUUGGGCGUAAAGAGCGUGUAGGCGGGCCGGAUAGUCUGGUGUGAAAUCUCGGGGCUCAACCCUGAGCGGUCACUGGAUACUGUCGGCCUUGAGUCCGGAAGAGGAGAGUGGAAUUCCUGGUGUAGCGGUGGAAUGCGCAGAUAUCAGGAGGAACACCUAUGGCGAAGGCAGCUCUCUGGUACGUGACUGACGCUGAGACGCGAAAGCGUGGGUAGCAAACAGG
rnacentral:rRNA from 1 species